UUUGUGUAGUAUUUUUGGUUUAUAAAGGUCAUGACUACAAUUCAACAGGGUAUUGGAACGAGCUACUAUGGGCAGCUUCGUGUUCUCUCUGGAGGUCAAGCACCUGGUGGGCACACUGCUUUAUAUGGACCAUUCGGGUGAUCCUGCAAGUUUUCAUGCUGCUGUAGCAAAGACAUGUUUUGCGCUGAAGAAUCAACUCAUCACUGCUAGCUAUGUUGAUGAUGAAACAUCCAUGUAGAUGGCUAAGAAAUACUUGGAUUAUGAUUCUUGGUGAAGUGACAUCUCACAACUUGGAUAAUUGAGAAUGAGGCUCAUAUCAGCAAGGGGAAAGUGAAGUCUUUCACGCUCUUCCUGUGGUAGCAUUCCCUUUUCUUCUGCAGCAGAUAAUUUAUUAGCACAGAUUGAAUGACUUCAAUCUGAUGUAUUCAAAUCAUGCAAUAAUGUGAUCAAGAGCUCACAUUCACCUUCCACUUUGUAAUAUUUAUUAUGUAUCUUUUUUUUGGGAAUCAUAAUAAGCAAUAAUAUUUUACAGUACA